rnacentral:rRNA from 1 species
CCUACGGGAGGCUGCAGUGAGGAAUAUUGGUCAAUGGACGAGAGUCUGAACCAGCCAAGUAGCGUGAAGGAUGACUGCCCUAUGGGUUGUAAACUUCUUUUAUAUGGGAAUAAAAUGUUCCACGUGUGGGAUUUUGUAUGUACCAUAUGAAUAAGGAUCGGCUAACUCCGUGCCAGCAGCCGCGGUAAUACGGAGGAUCCGAGCGUUAUCCGGAUUUAUUGGGUUUAAAGGGAGCGUAGGCGGAUUGUUAAGUCAGUUGUGAAAGUUUGCGGCUCAACCGUAAAAUUGCAGUUGAAACUGGCAGUCUUGAGUACGGUAGAGGUGUGCGGAAUGCGUGGUGUAGCGGUGAAAUGCUUAGAUAUCACGAAGAACUCCGAUUGCGAAGGCAGCUCACUGGACUGCAACUGACGCUGAGGCUCGAAAGUGUGGGUAUCGAACAGGAUUAGAUACCCGGGUAGUC